UGUAGAGAACAGCAGUGUCGUAGCUCCUGUUUUGCUGGUUAUCCAGGUCACUCUUUCCCAACAGAUAUUUCAUAUUAUCAUCUUUGUUAGCAUCUUCUGAGCUAAAAUCCUCUUUCAAACCAACACCUGCACAAUGAUGGCUAAAUUCCCUGUCAUGUAGGGUGGAGAAAACAGAGCCAAAAAGGAUUAUUCAAAGUUACAUAUGUGUGUAACUUCUCAUUGUGGCAAAGUCAGAGGGUUCAUUACCUGGCAGGACCAAGGUGUCCUUGGAAGAUCAACUGCCCCUAGGAAAGUUACCAGAGAAGAGGUACCUGCUUGGCUCCUUCCUAAAAUGAAACCAGACCACCAUGAAGACCAGAUUCCAAGCAGGUGUACUGUAAGAUGAGUAAAAAUUUUGAGGAAGAAAAGCUUAAGAUCUGAAAGGAGAUUGAAACAAAUCUCUUCUUCAUCAGUCUGAAUUCUAGCUCUCAUAAAUCGAUCAUAAAGAAAUGUCUUCAGAGCUUCCUCUAAAUCUAAAGCGACCUCUUCCUUAUCAGAAACCUGCAAGCAAAUUUUAACAACAUUGAGGUUCUCAGCUUCCAAAGUUCCAUAUGGCUUCUAGAUCCUUCUGCCUUGGCAGAAAAACCUGUUUCACAGCACUGCUGAGCUCCUGGAAAAUGCGUUGUAAAGAAAUGGUCUGUUUAAGAAACACCAUAUAGGUGACCUGCCUUCACUGAAAGGAAGAAAAAGCACACCAGAUUACUCAUUCUGGACAAAAGCUCCACUUAUUAUUAAGAGGAUUAUUAGAACAUGUGGUGUUUCUUACUGAAGUUACCACAGCCACAGAACCACUAGAACACUAACAAAACAGAAGAACUGAGGUCGAAUUGAACACUUCUCUGUUACUAGAGGGCAGCAGCUAUUAAGAUUUGUGGAGCCCAACACUUCCACACAAGCUUCUGCUUUCAGCACCUCUGUUUCCGAGGACAAAUGUCCCAGGUAAGUCUUUAAUGCA